CCUACGGUGGGCAGCAGUGAGGAAUAUUGGUCAAUGGUCGGGAGACUGAACCAGCCAAGCCGCGUGAGGGAUGAAGGUACAGAGUAUCGUAAACCUCUUUUGUCAGGGAACAAAGGCGGGGACGCGUCCCCGGAUGAGUGUACCUGAAGAAAAAGCAUCGGCUACCUCCGUGCCAGCAGCCGCGGUAAUACGGAGGAUGCGAGCGUUAUCCGGAUUUAUUGGGUUUAAAGGGUUCGCAGGCGGUCUGUUAAGUCAGCGGCAAAAGCCCGGGGCUCAACCCCGGCCCGCCGUUGAAACUGGCAGUCUCGAGUUGGAGAGAAGUAUGCGGAAUGCGCGGUGUAGCGGUGAAAUGCAUAGAUAUCGCGCAGAACUCCGAUUGCGAAGGCAGCAUGCCGGCUCCACACUGACGCUGAGGCACGAAAGCGUGGGUAUCGAACAGGAUUAGAUACCCUUGUAGUC
rnacentral:rRNA from 1 species